GAUGAACGCUGGCGGCGUGCCUAAUACAUGCAAGUCGAGCGAACAGACGAGGAGCUUGCUCCUCUGACGUUAGCGGCGGACGGGUGAGUAACACGUGGAUAACCUACCUAUAAGACUGGGAUAACUUCGGGAAACCGGAGCUAAUACCGGAUAAUAUAUUGAACCGCAUGGUUCAAUAGUGAAAGACGGUUUUGCUGUCACUUAUAGAUGGAUUCGCGCCGCAUUAGCUAGUUGGUAAGGUAACGGCUUACCAAGGCAACGAUGCGUAGCCGACCUGAGAGGGUGAUCGGCCACACUGGAACUGAGACACGGUCCAGACUCCUACGGGAGGCAGCAGUAGGGAAUCUUCCGCAAUGGGCGAAAGCCUGACGGAGCAACGCCGCGUGAGUGAUGAAGGUCUUCAGAUCGUAAAACUCUGUUAUUAGGGAAGAACAAAUGUGUAAGUAACUAUGCACGUCUUGACGGUACCUAAUCAGAAAGCCACGGCUAACUACGUG
rnacentral:rRNA from 1 species